CCCGACUCCAUCGCAUCCUUCUACUCCAUCCACACAACGCCAUCGCCAGAGAGCCCACUCUCCCUCCCCCUCUCUUAGCCAAUUUCGCUGCACCACACGAACCCAUCACCGCCAGCCAGAACCCCCCCGCCCCCGUCGCCAGAAUUCUCGCCGCCGCCGCCGCUGUGUCGGGCGGGUCCCAGGUCCCGCUCCCCCCUGGCAGAGUGCGCCGAUCUCCGCCCCGUCGCCGCUUCGCCGCGUCGCCGGUUCCGAUCCGAGUGGCCGGAGCUCGCCGGACGUUUCUUCCGUCGGGACUGGGGACCAACUCUGCCCGCUCUCGCGGAGUCGCUGCUGCUCGUCCUUGCGCAAUCUGCUCUGACUCGUUGUCGCGAGGAGUUGUUGCGCGGAAUUGUGGAGAGUUUGCCGAGCUGUAGCUGAGUAACCGUUGCUCUUCGCCCUCGUCGCUUGAGACCACAGCUUUUAAGCCUUUUUGGGUCACGAUCAGGAUGUUCGUGAAUUCUGUGAAGAGACUUCGAAUUAUGAGGACUUCUGAGGCUAAUGGACUUGGUACUGAAUUACAGAGCCAAUAUUCUGAGACUUGAUCGUGUACAUGGUUUUGUAUGAUCAUGAUAUUUAAAGCAUUGUUGAGGAUGAGUGCUAACCUUAAGCUGGGUAGCUCUGAAGCUAUCCAGGUCCUUGUAGAGCAUGGUUGCGAUCUUUUGAGUGAACAGUGUGUAUAGCUUGCCCAUUAUACGGUUGUGGAAAUGAAAAGACUGGAUAAAUGGAGCAUUUUGAAAAUCAUGGUUGCUCCUCUUGGUGUCCCUUUUCUUU